AGUGAACGCUGGCGGUAGGCCUAACACAUGCAAGUCGAACGGCAGCACAGUAAGAGCUUGCUCUUACGGGUGGCGAGUGGCGGACGGGUGAGGAAUACAUCGGAAUCUACUUUUUCGUGGGGGAUAACGUAGGGAAACUUACGCUAAUACCGCAUACGACCUACGGGUGAAAGCAGGGGAUCUUCGGACUUUGCGCGAUUGAAUGAGCCGAUGUCGGAUUAGCUAGUUGGCGGGGUAAAGGCCCACCAAGGUGACGAUCCGUAGCUGGUCUGAGAGGAUGAUCAGCCACACUGGAACUGAGACACGGUCCAGACUCCUACGGGAGGCAGCAGUGGGGAAUAUUGGACAAUGGGCGCAAGCCUGAUCCAGCCAUACCGCGUGGGUGAAGAAGGCCUUCGGGUUGUAAAGCCCUUUUGUUGGGAAAGAAAAGCAGCAGGUUAAUACCCCGCUGUUCUGACGGUACCCAAAGAAUAAGCACCGGCUAACUUCGUG
rnacentral:rRNA from 1 species